AAAUAUAACAUCUGAGUUGAAUUUGUUACAUUACAAUUAAUUUCACUGUAACACUGACUUUCACAGGACAGCAGAACACUACCCAGAACGGGACACCCACUGCCAGUCCAAGAGGUGGACCUACGCGAUUCCUGUAGAUCCGACGAGAAAAGGUAGACUGUUCCUGUUACUCCCAGUCAGCAUGGUAGCUGUGAUUCUACUGGGAACGGCAUCCUGCAAACACAGGAAGAAGUCAGACUCC
rnacentral:lncRNA from 1 species